AGACAAACUAACUGAAGCCACAGCCGGAAGCAGGCUGACCACAAGUGCUAAGGUUCUGGUUAGUUCUUUUCUAGGUUCAAAAGAAGAGGCUGUUCUAAGAAAGACUACCGAGUAAUCAAUCACCUCCUCAGAGAAAGUCUGCUCAGGAAACUCUCCUCCCACCAGCCCCUGCACUUGGUUCCUUGCGUUGCCUCUGGCUGGAAGCUGUUGUCCCCAACUUCAGAAAGUGUCUGCAGAUUUCACAGGCUCUCUCUUGGGUCAAGGAUUGAUCAAAUAAAUAUAUCACGGAUAAUGGGAGCUGGAUUCCUCACUGCCUGAGAAAAGAACACAAAUAGAGAAAGGGAGAAAGAAUAAACCCUGUAAUGCUGAAACGGAAUUAAAGGGACCAGCUCUGUGAACACGGCAAGUAACAACAGAGAGAAAACGUGAGGAGAAAAGAGAGACCGGGAUUUUGAAAUCCUGUUUCCUGAAUGCCAUCUCACCAGGCACACGAAAGAAUAAAAUUAAGG
rnacentral:lncRNA from 10 species